ACGGGUGAGUAAUACGUAAGAAUCUGCCCUUGAGCGGGGGAUAACUAAUGGAAACGUUAGCUAAUACCGCAUAAACUCGAGAGAGAAAAGGUGCCCGUAAGGGUGUCACUUGAGGAGGAGCUUGCGUCUGAUUAGCUAGUUGGUGGGGUAAGAGCCUACCAAGGCGACGAUCAGUAACUGGUCUGAGAGGACGACCAGUCACACUGGGACUGAGACACGGCCCAGACUCCUACGGGAGGCAGCAGUGGGGAAUAUUGGACAAUGGGGGCAACCCUGAUCCAGCGAUGCCGCGUGAGUGAAGAAGGCCUUCGGGUCGUAAAGCUCUUUAGGUUGGGAAGAAGAGUGUGGGUUGAAUACACCCAUGCUUUGACGGUACCAACAGAAUAAGCACCGGCAAAUUCUGUGCCAGCAGCCGCGGUAAUACAGAAGGUGCGAGCGUUAAUCGGAUUUACUGGGCGUAAAGGGCACGUAGGCGGUAGGAUGUGUGUGAUGUGAAAGCCCCGGGCUCAACCUGGGAAGUGCAUCGCAAACUAUCUAACUAGAGUAGAUGAGAGGGUGGCGGAAUUUCCAGUGUAGC
rnacentral:rRNA from 1 species